rnacentral:rRNA from 1 species
UACGUAGGGGGCAAGCGUUGUCCGGAUUUAUUGGGCGUAAAGAGCGUGUAGGCGGUUUGGUAGGUCCGCUGUGAAAACUCGAGGCUCAACCUCGAGACGCCGGUGGAAACCAUCAGACUAGAGUCCGGAAGAGGAGAGUGGAAUUCCUGGUGUAGCGGUGAAAUGCGCAGAUAUCAGGAGGAACACCAAUUGCGAAGGCAGCUCGCUGGGACGUUACUGACGCUGAGACGCGAAAGCGUGGGGAGCAAACAGG